UGCCGGGUUGUGUAAUGGUAGCACGACGGGCUCUGGACCCGUUAGUGAAGGUUCGAAUCCUUCCCCGGCAG
rnacentral:tRNA from 1 species